rnacentral:rRNA from 1 species
GAUGAACGCUGGCGGCGUGCCUAAUACAUGCAAGUCGAGCGAACAGACGAGGAGCUUGCUCCUCUGACGUUAGCGGCGGACGGGUGAGUAACACGUGGAUAACCUACCUAUAAGACUGGGAUAACUUCGGGAAACCGGAGCUAAUACCGGAUAAUAUAUUGAACCGCAUGGUUCAGUAGUGAAAGACGGUUUUGCUGUCACUUAUAGAUGGAUCCGCGCCGCAUUAGCUAGUUGGUAAGGUAACGGCUUACCAAGGCAACGAUGCGUAGCCGACCUGAGAGGGUGAUCGGCCACACUGGAACUGAGACACGGUCCAGACUCCUACGGGAGGCAGCAGUAGGGAAUCUUCCGCAAUGGGCGAAAGCCUGACGGAGCAACGCCGCGUGAGUGAUGAAGGUCUUCGGAUCGUAGAACUCUGUUAUUAGGGAAGAACAAAUGUGUAAGUAACUAUGCACGUCUUGACGGUACCUAAUCAGAAAGCCACGGCUAACUACGUG